rnacentral:rRNA from 1 species
GACGAACGCUGGCGGCGUGCCUAAUACAUGCAAGUAGAACGCUGAAGGAGGAGCUUGCUUCUCUGGAUGAGUUGCGAACGGGUGAGUAACGCGUAGGUAACCUGCCUGGUAGCGGGGGAUAACUAUUGGAAACGAUAGCUAAUACCGCAUAAGAGUAGAUGUUGCAUGACAUUUACUUAAAAGGUGCAAUUGCAUCACUACCAGAUGGACCUGCGUUGUAUUAGCUAGUUGGUGAGGUAACGGCUCACCAAGGCAACGAUACAUAGCCGACCUGAGAGGGUGAUCGGCCACACUGGGACUGAGACACGGCCCAGACUCCUACGGGAGGCAGCAGUAGGGAAUCUUCGGCAAUAGACGGAAGUCUGACCGAGCAACGCCGCGUGAGUGAAGAAGGUUUUCGGAUCGUAAAGCUCUGUUGUAAGAGAAGAACGAGUGUGAGAGUGGAAAGUUCACACUGUGACGGUAUCUUACCAGAAAGGGACGGCUAACUACGUG